UUAAGUUGCAGGGUAUAGACCCGAAACCCGGUGAUCUAGCCAUGGGCAGGUUGAAGGUUGGGUAACACUAACUGGAGGACCGAACCGACUAAUGUUGAAAAAUUAGCGGAUGACUUGUGGCUGGGGGUGAAAGGCCAAUCAAACCGGGAGAUAGCUGGUUCUCCCCGAAAGCUAUUUAGGUAGCGCCUCGUGAAUUCAUCUCCGGGGGUAGAGCACUGUUUCGGCAAGGGGGUCAUCCCGACUUACCAACCCGAUGCAAACUGCGAAUACCGGAGAAUGUUAUCACGGGAGACACACGGCGGGUGCUAACGUCCGUCGUGAAGAGGGAAACAACCCAGACCGCCAGCUAAGGUCCCAAAGUCAUGGUUAAGUGGGAAACGAUGUGGGAAGGCCCAGACAGCCAGGAUGUUGGCUUAGAAGCAGCCAUCAUUUAAAGAAAGCGUAAUAGCUCACUGGUCGAGUUGGCCUGCGCGGAAGAUGUAACGGGGCUAAACCAUGCACCGAAGCUGCGGCAGCGACACUGUGUGUUGUUGGGUAGGGGAGCGUUCUGUAAGCCUGUGAAGGUGUGCUGUGAGGCAUGCUGGAGGUAUCAGAAGUGCGAAUGCUGACAUAAGUAACGAUAAAGCGGGUGAAAAGCCCGCUCGCCGGAAGACCAAGGGUUCCUGUCCAACGUUAAUCGGGGCAGGGUGAGUCGACCCCUAAGGCGAGGCCGAAAGGCGUAGUCGAUGGGAAACAGGUUAAUAUUCCUGUACUUGGUGUUACUGCGAAGGGGGGACGGAGAAGGCUAUGUUGGCCGGGCGACGGUUGUCCCGGUUUAAGCGUGUAGGCUGGUUUUCCAGGCAAAUCCGGAAAAUCAAGGCUGAGGCGUGAUGACGAGGCACUACGGUGCUGAAGCAACAAAUGCCCUGCUUCCAGGAAAAGCCUCUAAGCAUCAGGUAACAUCAAAUCGUACCCCAAACCGACACAGGUGGUCAGGUAGAGAAUACCAAGGCGCUUGAGAGAACUCGGGUGAAGGAACUAGGCAAAAUGGUGCCGUAACUUCGGGAGAAGGCACGCUGAUAUGUAGGUGAAGUCCCUCGCGGAUGGAGCUGAAAUCAGUCGAAGAUACCAGCUGGCUGCAACUGUUUAUUAAAAACACAGCACUGUGCAAACACGAAAGUGGACGUAUACGGUGUGACGCCUGCCCGGUGCCGGAAGGUUAAUUGAUGGGGUCAGCGCAAGCGAAGCUCUUGAUCGAAGCCCCGGUAAACGGCGGCCGUAACUAUAACGGUCCUAAGGUAGCGAAAUUCCUUGUCGGGUAAGUUCCGACCUGCACGAAUGGCGUAAUGAUGGCCAGGCUGUCUCCACCCGAGACUCAGUGAAAUUGAACUCGCUGUGAAGAUGCAGUGUACCCGCGGCAAGACGGAAAGACCCCGUGAACCUUUACUAUAGCUUGACACUGAACAUUGAGCCUUGAUGUGUAGGAUAGGUGGGAGGCUUUGAAGUGUGGACGCCAGUCUGCAUGGAGCCGACCUUGAAAUACCACCCUUUAAUGUUUGAUGUUCUAACGUGGACCCGUGAUCCGGGUUGCGGACAGUGUCUGGUGGGUAGUUUGACUGGGGCGGUCUCCUCCUAAAGAGUAACGGAGGAGCACGAAGGUUGGCUAAUCCUGGUCGGACAUCAGGAGGUUAGUGCAAUGGCAUAAGCCAGCUUGACUGCGAGCGUGACGGCGCGAGCAGGUGCGAAAGCAGGUCAUAGUGAUCCGGUGGUUCUGAAUGGAAGGGCCAUCGCUCAACGGAUAAAAGGUACUCCGGGGAUAACAGGCUGAUACCGCCCAAGAGUUCAUAUCGACGGCGGUGUUUGGCACCUCGAUGUCGGCUCAUCACAUCCUGGGGCUGAAGUAGGUCCCAAGGGUAUGGCUGUUCGCCAUUUAAAGUGGUACGCGAGCUGGGUUUAGAACGUCGUGAGACAGUUCGGUCCCUAUCUGCCGUGGGCGCUGGAGAACUGAGGGGGGCUGCUCCUAGUACGAGAGGACCGGAGUGGACGCAUCACUGGUGUUCGGGUUGUCAUGCCAAUGGCACUGCCCGGUAGCUAAAUGCGGAAGAGAUAAGUGCUGAAAGCAUCUAAGCACGAAACUUGCCCCGAGAUGAGUUCUCCCUGACCCUUUAAGGGUCCUGAAGGAACGUUGAAGACGACGACGUUGAUAGGCCGGGUGUGUAAGCGCAGCGAUGCGUUGAGCUAACCGGUACUAAUGAACCGUGAGGCUUAACCUU
rnacentral:rRNA from 1 species